GAUGAACGCUGACAGAAUGCUUAACACAUGCAAGUCAACUGUGGCGGACGGGUGAGUACAGCGUAAAGAACUUGCCUCACAGAUAGGGACAACAUUUGGAACCGAAUGAUAAUACCUGAUACUGUGAGAGAGCUUUGCGUCCCAUUAGCUCUUUGGAGAGGUAACGGCUCACCAAGGCGAUGAUGGGUAGCCGGCCUGAGAGGGUGAUCGGCCACAAGGGGACUGGGACACGGCCCUUACUCCUACUGGAGGCAGUAGUGGGGAAUAUUGGACAAUGGACCAAAGUCUGAUCCAGCAAUUCUGUGUGCACGAUGAAGUUUUCGGAAUGUAAAGUGCUUUCAGUUGGGAAGCGGUACCAACAGAAGAAGUGACGGCUAAAUACGUGCCAGCAGCCGCGGUAAUUC
rnacentral:rRNA from 1 species